GGGACAACGUUCCGAAAGGAAUGCUAAUACCGCAUACGUCCUACGGGGGAAAGCAGGGGAUCUUCGGACCUUGCGCUAAUAGAUGAGCCUAAGUCGGAUUAGCUAGUUGGUGGGGUAAAGGCCUACCAAGGCGACGAUCUGUAGCGGGUCUGAGAGGAUGAUCCGCCACACUGGGACUGAGACACGGCCCAGACUCCUACGGGAGGCAGCAGUGGGGAAUAUUGGACAAUGGGCGGAAGCCUGAUCCAGCCAUGCCGCGUGUGUGAAGAAGGCCUUUUGGUUGUAAAGCACUUUAAGCGAGGAGGAGGCUCCUUUAGUUAAUACCUAAAGUGAGUGGACGUUACUCGCAGAAUAAGCACCGGCUAACUCUGUGCCAGCAGCCGCGGUAAUACAGAGGGUGCGAGCGUUAAUCGGAUUUACUGGGCGUAAAGCGUGCGUAGGCGGCUUUUUAAGUCGGAUGUGAAAUCCCUGAGCUUAACUUAGGAAUUGCAUUCGAUACUGGAAAGCUAGAGUAUGGGAGAGGAUGGUAGAAUUCCAGGUGUAGCGGUGAAAUGCGUAGAGAUCUGGAGGAAUACCGAUGGCGAAGGCAGCCAUCUGGCCUAAUACUGACGCUGAGGUACGAAAGCAUGGGGAGCAAACAGGAUUAGAUACCUGGUAGUCCAUGCCGUAAACGAUGUCUACUAGCCGUUGGGG
rnacentral:rRNA from 1 species